rnacentral:rRNA from 1 species
UGGGGAAUAUUGGACAAUGGGCGAAAGCCUGAUCCAGCAAUGCCGCGUGGGUGAAGAAGGUCUUCGGAUUGUAAAGCCCUUUCGACGGGGACGAUGAUGACGGUACCCGUAGAAGAAGCCCCGGCUAACUUCGUGCCAGCAGCCGCGGUAAUACGAAGGGGGCUAGCGUUGCUCGGAUUGACUGGGCGUAAAGGGCGCGUAGGCGGUUCGUACAGUCAGACGUGAAAUUCCUGGGCUCAACCUGGGGGCUGCGUUUGAUACGUGCGGACUUGAGUGCGGAAGAGGGUCGUGGAAUUCCCAGUGUAGAGGUGAAAUUCGUAGAUAUUGGGAAGAACACCGGUGGCGAAGGCGGCGACCUGGUCCGAUACUGACGCUGAGGCGCGAAAGCGUGGGGAGCAAACA